rnacentral:rRNA from 1 species
GACAGAGGGUGCGAACGUUGCUCGGAAUUACUGGGCGUAAAGCGCGCGUAGGCGGGCCGAUAAGUCGGUUGUGAAAUCCCUGAGCUCAACUCAGGAACUGCAUCCGAAACUGUCGGUCUAGAGUAGUGGAGAGGGGAUGGCGGAAUUCCGGGGUGUAGAGGUGGAAAAUUCGUAGAUAUCCGGAGGAACACCGGUGGGCGAAGGCGGCCUCCUGGGACGC